rnacentral:rRNA from 1 species
GGAUCCAGACUUUGAUCCUGGCUCAGGAUGAACGCUAGCUACAGGCUUAACACAUGCAAGUCGAGGGGCAGCAUGACCUAGCAAUAGGUUGAUGGCGACCGGCGCACGGGUGAGUAACACGUAUCCAACCUACCGGUUAUUCCGGGAUAGCCUUUCGAAAGAAAGAUUAAUACCGGAUAGCAUAACGAGAAGGCAUCCUCUUGUUAUUAAAGAAUUUCGAUAACCGAUGGGGAUGCGUUCCAUUAGUUUGUUGGCGGGGUAACGGCCCACCAAGACAUCGAUGGAUAGGGGUUCUGAGAGGAAGGUCCCCCACAUUGGAACUGAGACACGGUCCAAACUCCUACGGGAGGCAGCAGUGAGGAAUAUUGGUCAAUGGACGAGAGUCUGAACCAGCCAAGUAGCGUGAAGGAUGACUGCCCUAUGGGUUGUAAACUUCUUUUAUAUGGGAAUAAAGUGCAGUAUGUAUACUGUUUUGUAUGUACCAUACGAAUAAGGAUCGGCUAACUCCGUGCCAGCAGCCGCGGUAAUACGGAGGAUCCGAGCGUUAUCCGGAUUUAUUGGGUUUAAAGGGAGCGUAGGCGGACUAUUAAGUCAGCUGUGAAAGUUUGCGGCUCAACCGUAAAAUUGCAGUUGAUACUGGUCGUCUUGAGUGCAGUAGAGGUAGGCGGAAUUCGUGGUGUAGCGGUGAAAUGCUUAGAUAUCACGAAGAACUCCGAUUGCGAAGGCAGCUUACUGGACUGUAACUGACGCUGAUGCUCGAAAGUGUGGGUAUCAAACAGGAUUAGAUACCCUGGUAGUCCACACAGUAAAUGAUGAAUACUCGCUGUUUGCGUUAUACGGCAAGCGGCCAAGCGAAAGCAUUAAGUAUUCCACCUGGGGAGUACGCCGGCAACGGUGCAACUCAAAUGAAUUGACGG